AGCGAACAGGAUUAGAUACCCUGGUAGUCCACGCCGUAAACUAUGAUCACUAGAUGUUGGCGAUAUAAUGUCAGCGUUCAAGAGAAAUCGUUAAGUGAUCCACCUGGGGAGUACGUUCGCAAGAAUGAAACUCAAAGGAAUUGACGGGGGCCCGCACAAGCGGUGGAGCAUGUGGUUUAAUUCGAUGAUACGCGAGGAACCUUACCAAGGCUUAAAUGUAAUACGACCGAUUGAGAAAUCAAUCUUUUUUCGAACGGAUUACAAGGUGCUGCAUGGUUGUCGUCAGCUCGUGCCGUGAGGUGUCGGGUUAAGUCCCAUAACGAGCGCAACCCCUAUUUUUAGUUGCCAGCGAGUAAUGUCGGGAACUCUAGAAAGACUGCCUGUGUAAACAGAGAGGAAGGUGGGGAUGACGUCAAAUCAUCACGGCCCUUAUGUCUUGGGCUACACACGUGCUACAAUGGUAAUUACAGUGGGAAGCCAUCUGGCGACAGAGAGCUAAUCCAUAAAAAUUAUCCCAGUUCGGAUCGGAGUCUGCAACUCGACUCUGUGAAGUUGGAAUCGCUAGUAAUCGCACAUCAGCCAUGGUGCGGUGAAUACGUUCCCGGGCCUUGUACACACCGCCCGUCAAGCCAUGGAAGUUUGGGGUACCUAAAGUCAGUAACCGCAAGGAGCUGCCUAAGGUAAAACAAGUAACUAGGGCUAAGUCGUAACAAGGUAGCCGUACCGGAAGGUGCGGCUG
rnacentral:rRNA from 1 species